rnacentral:lncRNA from 1 species
GAACUACUCAUGUUGAAGCUCAAAUGGAAGAGUGAUUCAUACUUUAGCUGGUCAGACUGGUGGAGCAGUCCCGGCUUCGCCAUUCAGAAGAUCAGAGUAAAAGCAGGAGAGACUCAGAAAAAGGUGAUCUUCUGUUCUAGGGAGAAAGUGUCUCAUUUGCAGAAAGGAAAGGCACCUGCGGUAUUUGUGAAAUGCCAUGACAAGUCUCUGAAUAAGAAGUCAGGCUGAAGAUAAUAAAUUGCCCUUUUUCCUGUGCUUUUUCUCAGAAACUGGGCGAAUCUACAGAACAAAGAACGGCAUGUGAAUUCUGUGAAGAAUGAAGUGGAGGAAGUAACUUUUACAAAACAUACCCAGUGUUUGGGGUGUUUCAAAAGUGGAUUUUCCUGAAUAUUAAUCCCAGCCCUACCCUUGUUAGUUAUUUUAGGAGACAGUCUCAAGCACUAAAAAGUGGCUAAUUCAAUUUAUGGGGUAUAGUGGCCAAAUAGCACAUCCUCCAACGUUAAAAGACAGUGGAUCAUGAAAAGUGCUGUUUUGUCCUUUGAGAAAGAAAUAAUUGUUUGAGCGCAGAGUAAAAUAAGGCUCCUUCAUGUGGCGUAUUGGGCCAUAGCCUAUAAUUGGUUAGAACCUCCUAUUUUAAUUGGAAUUCUGGAUCUUUCGGACUGAGGCCUUCUCAAACUUUACUCUAAGUCUCCAAGAAUACAGAAAAUGCUUUUCCGCGGCACGAAUCAGACUCAUCUACACAGCAGUAUGAAUGAUGUUUUAGAAUGAUUCCCUCUUGCUAUUGGAAUGUGGUCCAGACGUCAACCAGGAACAUGUAACUUGGAGAGGGACGAAGAAAGGGUCUGAUAAACACAGAGGUUUUAAACAGUCCCUACCAUUGGCCUGCAUCAUGACAAAGUUACAAAUUCAAGGAGAUAUAAAAUCUAGAUCAAUUAAUUCUUAAUAGGCUUUAUCGUUUAUUGCUUAAUCCCUCUCUCCCCCUUCUUUUUUGUCUCAAGAUUAUAUUAUAAUAAUGUUCUCUGGGUAGGUGUUGAAAAUGAGCCUGUAAUCCUCAGCUGACACAUAAUUUGAAUGGUGC